rnacentral:lncRNA from 1 species
UUUUUUUUUUUCCUUCUUAUUUAUUUGUUUAUUUGUCUCUUUGGAGGUCUGGCACAUCCAGUCCUGUGUGGGAUCUCCAUGCAGAAGAUGUAGAACACCCUGUGCAUAUCUGAACAUCGAUAGGUUUUCAAGAAUAAAAGACAGGAGCCAGAGUGGCUGCACCAAAACACUCAUGGAAAGCAGUAUUAUCAAUUAUCCCAUGUAUUCAAGAGCUGCAAUUCCUGGUAAUUAACACCAAGCAUUCAUUGCAGAGGACAGGACUGAACAAGGGGAAAUAGCUGCCGGAAACAUGAAAAUCUCAAGUUAAAUUGUACCUUUGAAUAAAAGAGAUCCAUACAUUGAAGAUCA